CCCAGCACUUCAAAAACAAAUAAGAAUGCGCGCGCGCGCGCACACACACACACACACACACACACACACACACACACACACACACCAGAAGUUUAGUUUGGCAUUGAUUGUUUGGACACUUCCCCUAACACCUCACUUUGACACUUUGCCCCUGGAUUGACAAGAGCAGCUUGUGGACCUCAGUGGGAAUUCAACACCUCAGGAGGUUUCCCUGGGGGUUCCUCACUUUGCAAUGAGAGGCUUUGUGGACUCUCAUUCAUACCAAGUUACUUUCAGGUUGAGCGGGCCUCUGCCUAAGUUGCAUGUGGGUAGACCAGAUGUCUGGUGACUAUUGAGGUGGCCCACUGUCAGCAUGGAGGUAUGUCAUGAGUAAAGAGUUCAGAAAAGACCCAGAACUUCCCAUUAUCCUCAGCUUUCUAGGUAAUAGAAUCCAAAAUCAAUUCUCAUUACAUAUAAGUGAGAGGAACACCUCUGACAGGUUACGUCUUAAGUGAUAAUUAAAAACAUAUUUCCUGGUGCUUAGCCACUGUGAGGUGCAUCCCUGUUUAUCCCACAGAGGAGGUCACAUGCUAAGCCCCAAAGUGCUGCCGUUGCCCUGCUCCCAGGCCUUCUACUUCCUGGAUUGUCAUUCGUUAUUUCACUCUGGUUUGUUUAUUACAGUGAAAUAGAACUUGGCAUUGACUCUCCCUAGUCACCCUCACCAACAGUCAUUAUAAAGUCCUAAACCAGAGUACUGAGGACUCAUUUUCCAGCAACACGGCCUUCAGUUUUGCCAGUGGUUGGAAUCUAUAAACUAUCAACAGCAUCUUGUCAGUUUUUACAAGCUUCCAUCAAUUGAGGAGAGAUUGUUUCUGGGGGUUCCGGGUUCUUAGUAGCUUGUGGCAGAAUCACUCCUCUGUCUCUGGCCUGCCUCUGUCUCUGCCUCUACUGUCUUCCCUGUGUCUCUGUAUUUUCCUUUAUUUAAGAGACCAGGAUCAGGGCCAAAUUCUAACCUUGUAUGACCUCAGCUUAGCUCAAUCUAUGAGCAAGGCCACAAUCCAAAAUACUGGAAGUUGGGACUUUAGAAUGGUUCCUUUCAACUUGUUAACUUGGCACAGUGUAGAAUCAUAGAUUCCCAAUCAGGAAUGUCUAGAUGAGAUUGGCCUGUGGGUAUAUCUUCUGGGGAUUGUCUUGAUUACAUGACUCCAUGUAGGAAGACCUAGUCCACUGUAGGAGGCAUCAUUCCCUAGGUUUAGUUCUGAACUGUGUAAGAGUAUAAAUAGUGAGCUGAGAACCAGUGGGCACAAAUUCCUUUUCUGCUCUUGAUGUGGAUGUCAUGUGACCAGCCGUUUUAAGUCUAGGCUUGCUGCCUUGACUUCCCUGUGAUGAUAGACUCUAACAGAAUUGUGAGCCAAAGUAAACUCUUCCUUCCCUAAGUUUUUUUUUUUUGUCAAGAUAUUUUGUCAGAGCAACAGAAAUCCCCAGAACAGGGAUCAGCAUAGUUUGGGGGUGACAUAAUUCAAUCUACUAGACAUGUGGAAAGAUUAGCCAAAAAUGAUGCUGGUAGAGCUGAUUAAUCAUUGAACUAAAGGAUGAAUGAGUUCUUAAUCCCUCACUGCCAUUCUUGCUUGGAAAUACCACAUAGAUCAAUGAUUUCAAUGUGAAAAAUUAUUCAAUAACUAGAAAAACGGUCAACCCAUGACCAGGGUUUAAAAGAACUUUACACAUUCCAACUUGAAUCAUCGUAACAAUUCAGCUGUUACCUCUUCUUCACAGCUCAGAGAACCGAGGCAGAGUGGAAUUAAAUAAUCUUCUUGAGAUUGCACAGAAAGUGAGUGCUGGAUUCCAUGGCCCAGUUUGGUUCCAGGUUGCAGCCUGACCUGCUUCUGUGUGCUUAGUUCAGUCUUGGAGGAAGCACUUCUGCUGUCAAGCUCCAUACUUCACAGAUGCUUAAGGCCUAGAAAUUCUACAAUGCAUAUGAGUUGCUUUAGAACGAAUAAGAAAACAUUACAGUCUCUCCCUUUUCUUUUCCUCAGCCGCCCUUCCACACAUUGCCCAGAGUUGGCAGACUUGUCAGGGCCUAAUCAGGCUGUUGAUUUGCCCAGAAUUAGCAAGUGAGGGAGCCAGUAGCUUCUACAAUGAUGCUUUGUAUCAGAACUACAUAAUUAUUGCUAAAUCCUUCUGGAAUUUUCUCUCUUCUGCAGGGCUGUGCCAAGUGUCUGCCUCUGAUUUGUUCAAGUAACCACCUCUGAGGACUGCUGCUUGGGGUUCUCUCAAAUGCUAAGCUGGCGGAACCGUGCUCACAGGACCUGACUGAACAGAGAGAACAAGCCUUAGGCAUGCUGGGAUUCCCUCACACUCUCUGCACCCUGGCUGAUUCUCAGGUCCCCGAGGGACACACCUGAGCAUGUCGUCGUGAUAGGGGAAACUAAGCAACCUCAGUUCUGUCGUUAGCUAUACAAAUAGAGUUUGGUUUCUUGGAACCUGUGCUGAGCCCUGCUUACUCUCUGAGCAGGGCACGGGCGAGCUCUUACCACCCGUGUGCCGACUGCUUCUGCCUUUAAAUCAUCUGUCUUUGAACGUGCAAAAUAUCGUGCUGGCGAGAUGGCUUGACCUGCUGACCUGAGCUCCCGUCCCCAAGACCCAAAUAGUGGAGGAGAGAGACAACGCCUUUAAAUUGUCCCCUGAUGUUCACAUAUGGGCCAUGACACCCACAGCUCCUCCCAAAAAUGAAUGUAUAGCUAAAUAACUGUUUAAAAAAGAACUUAAAGUGCAAAAUGUUCAAUAAGGCCUCUUCUUAAGCAUCAAUGAUUUUUUUUUUCCCAGAGCUGAGGAUCGAACCCAGGGCCUGGCGCUUGCUAGGAAAGCACUCUACCACUGAGCUAAAUCCCCAACCGCAAUUUUUUUUAAUGUGGAGGUGGGCUGGUUCAGUAGUUACCAGGGCAUUUGGUCCUUCCAGAGGAUAUGAGCUUGGUUCCCUGCACUUAAUGUCUAGAGGCUCACAAAUGCCCAUGGCUCUAAUCCCAGGGCAUCUGACACCUUCUAUUGGCCUCCAUAGGCCCCUGCCCUCGUGUGUACAUACAUACACAUGUACGCUUAAUUGAAAUAAAAUCUUUCCAACAUGAACAAAA